rnacentral:miRNA from 1 species
UAAAUGCAUUUUCUGGUAUGUC